UUUGUUUUCUUUAAUGUUGUCUUUCCUGAUCCAUACUUUUUUGCUGAAGAAUGCUGUGCCACAUAACAUGCACAUAAAGCCUUCCCUACUUCACAGUGUUUACUUUACAUUCCAUUUCUCCCAUCCUAGCAGAAAGAUAAACCCCAUGAUGUACUAAAGCUUCUCCACCACAACAGAGGCAUCCAAUAUAGAUUAAAAUAUUUUUAAUUAAAUACAGUAUCUAAGACCCUCUUGAGACCAAGGAGGUGUCAUAUUGGGCCACAGAAAAAAAUCAGAAUUUCAGUCCUGUUGCUCCUGGUUUGGUAGAAACUGUCACAGGACGAAAGUACUUGGAAGUGUUUCUUUCCCAGUGUCAUCUGUGAUAUGGUCUGACAGCCUAUUAGAGAAAAUCUGUGGGAGUCUUCUUGGAAAAAAAAUCAGUGUCUGACAUUUAGAAACCACUUUAGAUAAUCUCCUGCAGCCCACUUUGCAUUCUUAUCUCUUUCAGAAGUAUAUGUAUUUUUUUUCCAGGUGGAUAAUUACUGAUAUGUGCCUUUCUAGACCUUCUGAGCCAACACUCAGCACUCCAAGCACUAGGAUUACAGGUCCUAGCAGAGAUUUUGAGGAGUGAGGAGAUAAAAAGCCUUUUUCAGACUAAGGUGGUGCAGCCCUAGGGCUGUGGCUGGACAGAGGCUGUCUGCUGGUGUGAGUAGAGGGGGCUAUACCCAGACAUUAUGGGAACAGAGACUGGAUUUGUGGCCAUGAACACCAAGAAAACAAGAGGCAAAGAGAGGCAGAUGCCAUGCAGACAAAUGUUGAGGGGUCCAGCCUUGCUGUCAAAGGAUCUGCCAGUUCUGCACUGAAAUUUUGAGUGAAGUCUUGCUGGAUAAAGUACAUUAAAAUCAACGGAAAGUCUGGUUUAAAGGCAACAGAUGUGUUUUACUGAAGAUUAUUCAGAACCACAGGUUGGGCCCUGCCAUCUGCUGAAUUUGGAUACGAUGUCUGCAAAUCUGGUGUGGAAAUAACACAAAACAAAACUCUGCCUUUGGGAGAGAAACUACCAAUGCCUUUGUAGCUACAACUGUCUCCCACAGAAAAUUACCUUUCUUAUUUUGUGCAAUAUGUACCCUCUCCAUACAAAUGUAAGCUAAGGUUAAAUUCCAGCUCUCAGAGCUCGAUUUUAUCUCAAGUCCCUGCUAAAAUCCCUCAGUACUUGACUGGAGAAGAGCAAGAGGACUCUGCUCUAAUAAGACCUGCUUUGAGUGUGGAAUUGGACCAUGGACCUUCACAGGUCCUUUUCAACCUCUGUGGCUGUAGAAUCAAAAUUAUUACAUCUGUGCAGACACAUGAACAUGGAAGUAUCUUUCUUUGUCAAAUUUGGUAAGGAAAGAUGGAUCUGUCAGUCAGGAAUACAAACAGAAAGAACAGACAACAGAGUUUUACUAGAAAGGUUGUUUAUUUUGUUGAAAGUUUGCUUGUAAAUAACUAUUUAAAAAAAAAAAAAGAAAAAAAAUUAGCCUGCAUCCAGACAAAUUGCUGUUGAAAUACCCAAUCUAGUGAUUCACAGCUCCUCACCUCUGGAAGGAAGGCUUUUCCCUUCUCUUUUCAAAUGCAGUGUCUUCUCACUAAGACACUGACUCUCAAUGCAGCUAGAAAAUCCUCUUGAGCUUAUAAUCUAGUAGAGAGACCUGUUAUUUUAUGUCCUGUGUUCUGCCAGAAUCAUGCUUAUGUUGGACAUGUCUUGGAAACAAAUGCAGUCUUGGUCUAAUUUAAUAACUUGUCUUGGACAAUAGAGCCUUGAGUCCUGCUGCUGGCCCAUCAAGAAAGAAUCCUCUUGUGCAAGCAGUAGUAGCUGUGUUCAAAAAUAGUCUCCAAACUAUUGGGAAUAAACCAACACCCAAGAAAAAUGACAGUUUGUUUAAAAAACAGUUAAAAACCAGUUUGUUUAAAAAGUCUGUUUUAAAGUGAAUGAAACCAAAAUCUUAAGGCCACAUUUCAAAAAGCUAAUGCUAUGCCUUGAACUUAUAUAGCCUGUGAUACAGCAACUCAGCCCCACUCUCCCCUGGUAGAAAAGAGAGGGAAAAGGCUUUUGUGCGUUUGAAACUGCAUUUUUUGCCUGAACUGCAGAACAAAAUCCAACAGGAAUUAAGAAUUCACAGUAACCUCCCAUUUUCUGUUCUGAGGGUGAUGUACACUUCUCUGACUUGUGGCACAGAAAAGAGGAACAAAAAUCACUCUACCUGUGAUAGGUCAAAGGCAGCAGCACCAGAUGGAGCCCUUGCCUGAGAUGCCCCACUGGCAGGGUGGGCACUGCCCAAGUACCAGUAACUCAGAAACAGCUCCCAGCAGGCUCAGUAAAAGCAGCGCCUCUGUUGUGAAGGAGCAGUGAAUGCACCACUCAGGCCGAGAUGGGAAUUACAGCUCCAAAAUGAACAAGGAUCCUGCACAACAGCAGCACCUGAUCUAAUCUUUCCUUUGCCUCUGUGCUGGUAGGAAGGCAAGGUUGGCAUUUUCAAACCCCCUUCCCGUUGACUGGAAAGACUAGUGAAAAAACUACCUGUGCUCCAGAAGAUGAUUAAGAGACUGGAGAUUUCUCUUAUGAGGAAAGGCUGAGGGAGCUGGGCCUGCUCAGUGUUAAGAAGAGAUGGCUGAGAGGGGACCACAUCAGUGUCUGUCAGUGUCUGCAGGGAGGGGUCAGAGGAUGGACCAGGCUCUGCUCUGGGGUGCCCAGCAAGGGGACAAGAGGCAACAGGUAGAAGCUGAUGCCCAGAAGAUCCAUCAAAAUCUAAGGAAGAACUUCUUGUAAGUGACAGUGCACUGGAACAGGUUUCCUGGAGAGACUGGAGAGUCUCCCUCACUGGAGAUAUUUCAGAACUGUCUGGACACAAUCCUGUGCAAUGUUCUCUGGGAUGACCCUGCAACAGUGAGUUUGGACUGGAUGACCCACUGUGGGCCCUUCCAAAAUUACCUGCUCUGUGACUGUGCUAGGCCCUGUUCUCUCAGGAAUUCAUGUCUUAUCAAGAGCAAACAGUACCAGCCUGAGUGGGGACUAGACAAAACUAAAACUGCUUACAGCUGCACUCCUGCAUGAACACCAAACUGGGGUGACUACAAGUCAGUCACUGCAGGCUGUAGAUACCUGUAGCCCCUGUGAGCCCAGGGAGCUCUCCUGUAUGGCAUGGUGGUGAUCUCCCUGUGAGCAGGGACAUAGCUCAAGGUUACUUCCUGAGGACCAGAGACCCCCUUACCUGGCAUCUGAUAUCUAUAAUGGGGUAAGAACAUUUUGCAUUAAGCCUAAAACUGUAUUGUAUGUUAGUGACAUUUAUAUGUCCGGCUAUAGCUUUAGAAGUGGAAUACAUAGCAAAGUAUAAUCAUUAUUUAAAUAAUUGUUGAAAUCAUCAACUACAUCAUUGUUCAAUUACCAUUUAAUUAGAGCUUUUUAUUAUUGUUAAAUCAUUGUUAAACUGUGAUUAAAUUAUCAUUCAAUUACUGCUUAAUCAUUUAUCAUUUCAUUAUCAUUAAAUAAUUGAUUAAUUACCAUUUGACUAUCAUCUAAUCAUUAAUAAAACCCUUUUAUUAUCCCCACAAUGAUGACUUCCCUUAAAAAUUCACCUACAACAGUAGAGCUGUGGGUGUAUAAAUGGGGGAAAGGGGAAGAUGAAAUAGAUGUGGUGAUGGCUGCUAACACAAAAGAUGUGGCACCUUUACUGUUGUUCAUUUAUGACUGUAAAGAAUAAAGCACAGUAAUAAGGAAAUGCUUUGUGAGCAAAGGCCUUUGAUAAUAAGGCUGUAAGUUUCCACUUGGGACAGGUCCACGUAACAAUCAAAAUGCAAAACUGUACCAGGCAACAACGAGAAUAUUGACUCUAACCUUUGUCUGAAAGAAAAAAUGUUUAGUCAUAUUGACAAAAAACAUUCCUCUUUUAAGAGACACUCUCCGCUAAAUGUUAAUCUACCGACUUUUCCUCUGUAUUCACCACCUAUGCCUGAUGAAUACACAGUCUUCCUCCCCUCCCCCUGCAAUGUAUGAAACAGACUAUUUAUCCUGCAUAAGGCUUGGUAAAUGGGAUACCCUGGUUCUCUGGGAUACUGGUGAUCUGCUUGAGUCCCAAGGGAGGAAGAUGUGAUAAAUGCAGUAGCUGAUAAAUAAUCUGUGGUAUAAUUAGUGUUGCCCUUGUUGGACAGACAAGCAAGCAGCAGAUUUCCCAUGUACAGGAGGGUGUUUAUCCUGGCUUUUGUGCUUGCGAUUGGUUGCUGAACCUGAUGUACCUCUAUGAAAUGACUUUCUCAGUGACUGUACGAGAGCAAGCCAGCCUAUGAAUCUGCAGUGUACAUGGGUAUAGUUUCAUGUUUUGCUGCACCAUCAGCACCUGCAAAUUUCCUAAACAGCCUUUGAUUUUAAAUGUCAGUGACUUCCACCAUCAGGUUUCUUAGGUGCUCCUCAUUCCCUUCGGGAGAGCUG